UCUUGUUUGCACACUUUGUUUCCGUUAUUUCCGCAUGCUCCUUAGAAAUUUUUGUGCAUCGAUAUAAAAUCCUUUCAUAGGAGCAUACGCAAACAAUGGAAACAAGGAAUGCAAAUAAA
rfam:Arabidopsis lyrata subsp. lyrata unplaced genomic scaffold ARALYscaffold_7, whole genome shotgun sequence.